AUUGAACGCUGGCGGCAGGCCUAACACAUGCAAGUCGAGCGGAGCGGCAGACGGGUGAGUAAUGCCUAGGAAUCUGACUGGGAGUGGGGGAGAACGUCCGGAAACGGGCGCUAAUACCGCAUACUAUCAGCAGAGCAUAGGUCGGAUUGGCUAGUUGGUGGGGUAACGGCCUACCAAUGCGACGAUACGUAACUGGUCUGAGAGGAUGAUCAGUCACACUGGAACGGAGACACGGUCCCGACUCCUACGGGAGGCAGCAGUGGGGAAUAUUGGACAAUGGGCGAAAGCCUGAUCCAGCCAUGCCGCGUGUGUUAAGAAGGUCUUCGGAUUGUAAAGCACUUUCAGUUGGGAGGCGUUACCCGCAGAAUAAGCACCGGCUAACUUCGUGCCAGCAGCCGCGGUAAUUC
rnacentral:rRNA from 1 species